UAAUACAAGAGGGAAAGACAGAGGG
rnacentral:piRNA from 1 species